rnacentral:rRNA from 1 species
UACGUAGGGUGCGAGCGUUAAUCGGAAUUACUGGGCGUAAAGCGUGCGCAGGCGGUUUUGUAAGUCAGAUGUGAAAUCCCCGGGCUUAACCUGGGAACUGCGUUUGAAACUACAAGGCUAGAGUGUAGCAGAGGGGGGUGGAAUUCCCAGUGUAGUGGUGAAAUGCGUAGAUAUCGGGAGGAACACCUGUGGCGAAAGCGGCUCACUGGACCACAACUGACGCUGAGGCACGAAAGCUAGGGGAGCAAACAGG